rnacentral:rRNA from 1 species
AGUGAACGCUGGCGGUAGGCCUAACACAUGCAAGUCGAACGGCAGCACAGGAGGGCUUGCUCUCUGGGUGGCGAGUGGCGGACGGGUGAGGAAUACAUCGGAAUCUACUCUGUCGUGAGGGAUAACGUAGGGAAACUUACGCUAAUACCGCAUACGACCUACGGGUGAAAGCAGGGGAUCUUCGGACCUUGCGCGAUUGAAUGAGCCGAUGUCGGAUGAGCUAGUUGGCGGGGUAAAGGCCCACCAAGGCGACGAUCCGUAGCUGGUCUGAGAGGAUGAUCAGCCACACUGGAACUGAGACACGGUCCAGACUCCUACGGGAGGCAGCAGUGGGGAAUAUUGGGCAAUGGGCGCAAGCCUGAUCCAGCCAUACCGCGUGGGUGAAGAAGGCCUUCGGGUUGUAAAGCCCUUUUGUUGGGAAAGAAAUCCAGCUGGCUAAUACCCGGUUGGGAUGACGGUACCCAAAGAAUAAGCACUGGCUAACUUCGUGCCAGCCGCCGCGGUAA